GCAGGGGUGUAGAGGUGAAGAAGAGCUCUGGGGAUAGGUCAAGUCAGCUGGGCUGUGCUACCACGGGCAGCAGCAGUCUGCAGGAGAGCCCUGAACAUCAGUCUACUGGAUGCUGUAGCCCAAGUGACAACAACGUAACUGCGGAGCAAAUGCUGGAGCAGUAGAAAUGCUAGAGCUUCUAAAAUCCGCUCAGUGAGCUGAUUAGUUACAAAUAUGAAGGAAGCAUCAGCUCAUUCAGUACAAGCAAUGGAGCCUAGGAAUUAACAGUGAAGACUGGACAUAGCUGGAGCAAAUGACUUAACCUCUCUCUGCCCGUUUCCCUCAUCUGAGAAAUGCCGGCUGCCAAAGGGCUAUUCGAUGAAAACAUUACAUACCAUCAUUGAGAUAUGCACUCUUUCAACCUGAGAACGCUUAUUGAAAGGAGCCAAGGGUUAUUCUGUAACUAUGUGCUCAGGCAAGGAAGAUUUCCCACUUCUCCACUAACAACAGUCAGAAGCCAAAAGCUCCACUCAGGUGCUUGGCUACAUUUUGCCUUAAAGGACAGCUGAAGUGGUGCGGUUACCUCCACCCCAACAAGGACUAAGAAAGACGUCUGCCCAACACUAUGGAGCCGAUUUUACCACAGAGGUGAAAAUCCUAUCCCCUCCCACAAUGAGCAUUCUAUUUGGGGGAGGCAAAACCACAGUGCUCUGGUUUGAACAUUUGUGUCCCCUCCACAAUUCAUGCUGAAACUUAAUCCCCAACGCAACAGUAGAGAGGAGGUGCCUUUAGAAGGAGAUUAGCCUUAGAAAAGGGCCCUCGGCUCCCCCACCACGUGAGUGCUCAGCUGCUAGGCACCAACCUAGCAGCAGAAUCCAGGCCCACACCAGACACUGGCACCUAGUUUGGACUUCCCAGCCUUCAGAGCCGUGAG
rnacentral:lncRNA from 1 species